GCCUUCGUAGUGUAGUGGUCAGCACGCUCGACGCGUAACCGAGAGGUCCGUGGUUCGAAUCCCGGCGAAGGCG
rnacentral:tRNA from 1 species